GGAGAGCCGAUGUGACUCAUUUGUGUUUCCCGGAAAAACAGGCAAGGCAAGGAAAGAGCCCAAACAGCGACGCCUCUCUCAUCCCACAAAAACCUCAAACUUGCAAUUUUCUGAUCGAAUUAUUAUGAUAUUAUGCAGAUGGAGAUGCAACGGCAAAGGGUCAAUGGCAAUUGUAAGUAUAGUCAAUUUUGUAACGAUUUUGACAAUGGAGAAGGGGAGAAGCUCCUUGAUCCACCCACCAUCUGCUGCAAUGGUGAUGCUCAUCAACACAAUAAUAAUGAUGAUAAUUCUUUUCUAAUCUCAUCCACAAAUAUUUACCCCUUCCCCUUUUCAUCUUCGUCAACCUCGACCACAACCACAGCUCCUCCUGGUGGUCUUGGCUUCAUUCACCACCCCGUUUCCAGGUUGGAUACUCUUGCCGGCGUCGCCAUCAAGUAUGGUGUUGAGGUUACCGACAUUAAAAAAAUGAAUGGCCUGGUCACAGAUCUUCAAAUGUUUGCUCUCAAGUCACUCCAGAUUCCGCUGCCUGGAAGGCAUCCACCCUCUCCUUGCUUAUCGAAUGGUUCUGAUACUUCAAGACACUGUAGUUCUCAGCAGACUUCACCCUGUCUGGAUCUCAUUGACAGUUUCAAAUCCUUGAGUCUCAAGUCUUCACAGCGGAAGGUUUCUCCAGCCAUGAGUUCUUUGCAAGGUUAUUAUGGGCUUAAGCCAAUAGCAGAUCAAAAGAUUUCUCAAGGUUCUAAAAUGGAAGAUGUUCAACACCUUAGACGUUCACCAGCUUCCAAUACACCUUUGAGCCAUCAUAGGAAAUCUAGGAGCUUCAUUAAUGGUUUACAAAAUGAGAAUAAUGGGGUGGCUGAUAACCAACCUCUUGAGAUGAGGGAAUCUGACUCAGAGAAAUGGAAUGAGAAAUUGGUUAGAAGGCGUUCCAGCCAACCUGAAAUGCUGAUGAUGGAGGAGAGCAGUGGGGCUGCAAGUUCAGCAAUCACAGGAAAGAGCUUAGCUCUGAGAUCCAAGGCAGCUAGUAGAACUGUAUUGCCAGUUGAUAGGGAAACAAGUGGUUUAACACCUGUACCUAUUGAUUCUCUUGCUGCAGGUGGAUUUUCUAGUGUAAGGAAGUCAUCAAGCACAUCAAACUUGCAUGAUCAGGACAAUAGCAGUUCUUCCAUCUGGCCAACAUCCAAGUGGAGUUUAAAGCCAGAUUUACAGGCCCUUUCAGCUGCAGCUAUUGGAAGACCAUUCUUUGAUGGACUGCCAAAACCAAUAACUGGUCGAAGAAACAAAGCAGCACUUGAUUAGCUACAUUCAAUUAUGUUGAAUAUACUCAUUGAUUAUGACCCACAUUUCUGCAGGUAAUUUAUAUCUAGUUCUCAAAGGGUAAAUAGAAAAUAGACCGGGAAAAUGUCAAGUAAAAUGAUAGUUCACCAUAGUAUGUAUUCAUAUAUAUUCAAUUUGCACCAUCUAUUGUUUUGUUCUACAGUCAAAACUGCCCAAGACCUUAUCCCUUUUUUUCCAUCUUUCCCAAGGAGUAAGCAUGUCUUGCGAGCAGUAUCAUUUUAGAUCAUUGCCUUUGCACUAGUCAAUUUUAUCCUGUAUCGAUGUCCAAAUGGUUCAUUUAAAAAUGGAUAUGAAAUUCACUCAUCUUCACUUUUGGGUACAUUAUUAGCUAAUUGAUUAUUUAAUAAGUUGCAUUUACAGGGAAUUCAUAUAAUGUUAUAUUUUUAUCUUUGGUUAUCUGUAGUGCUUGUUUAACAGUUAAUUAUCUUAAACACCAAAUGCGUACAGGCAUACUGAAAUUAUAGACUAAAUUUUAUCCAUUUCAAUGAACUGACCAUUAAAUGUUAGCUCUAAAUUUCACAACUCUGAUUUUGUUGCAAGUAUGAAGCAUUAAAUUAUAGCUUAUUUUUAUUUGUCAAUGUUAGAAAUCAACCAAAAAAAUUUAUGUAGUAUAAGCACAACGAACUUCCAGGAGUAAAAUAAACAUUGGAUGAUUUUGUUAAACCAUAUAAAAUGAACACUAUAAAACUCCAAUCCUUCCUGCGAAAAUCUCCAGCACAAUUCUGCAUUGAACAAUUUUCUUAAUACAUGAAUCAUUUCUAGGAAUCACAAUUUACAUAAAUCUCAUUUGACCACCUCCACAUCAUCAGCCCUCUUCUACUUAAACAUCAAAAUAACGAUUUUUCUUUUAUGCUUCAUUUCCAUUUGGCACAUAUACUUGGUAAUUUCUUCUCUACUUUUAGAAAAGAAACCUCUCCUACCUAUCAAUGGCUUGUCCUUUAAAUUCUUUAACAAAAACCCAGAGUAGAACAUGUGGGCAGCUCUCCCUUUAAACCUUUACACACGAACCCAGUGGGACGUGCGAGUCCCAUUAAGCAUUUCACUUGCACCGAUUUUAUUAUUUUAGUUUAUUUUCCAUUUCAAAUCCUGCAAACCUAUUUUCAUGCACAUAUUAAGAUUUCUUCACAAUUGACAACCCUCCAAACCAAUUAAUUACAGGGGAAGUAUGAUUUUGCAAAACAUUAUGAUCAAAUAUAAAUUUUAGGUGAUAAUUUUAUGCAAUAAGAAUCAAUUAGAGCAACCUAUCAAAUAGCGACAUUUUGCAAUUCAUCAUAUAACAAGACUGAUAGCAAAUAUUAAUUACCAUUUGUAGUCAGUAAGAAUAAUAUCUGAUGCAAGGUCAAAAGAAAAUAGACCCUAUACACUUGAAAUGGAACUUUGUGUAAAUAUUAUACAAGAAAUAUUGAUUGGUAGCAAAUGUAAAUCAUACUCUGAAUGUAUUAUAUCAUACAGAAUGUAAUAAUAGUAAUCAAGACAUUCACAAGGGCUUAAUAAUUGGUUAACUCAUUGCUAUAACUUUUCUUUUUUCCAUUAAAAAAAAGAAGGAAAAAAAAAAGAACAAUUGAAGCAUUUUGUAGAACCUUUUCUUUUAGAUCUUCUAGCAGAAAAGCUAAUUUCUAUCUCAACGUUUUGCAGAAAUUGUCUGCCAUAGAAUCUUAUUCUUCAGUGUUUACCAUGAUGAAACACCACAAACGACAGUAAUUUUUGGCUUAAUGUUUUGCCCAACCAAGUCAGAAACAUGGGCCUACACUCGGAAGAAAGUGUUCCCGGGAUACAUUUGUCAGGAAAUAUUACAAUAUACACAGUCCUGCCAAGAGCUUCCACAAGGUCUAAACACAGCCUUCAAAUGCCAGUUGUAUCUUGUCCAGAAGUGGAACCUUCAUUUUAAGGUGUAAUACAACGUGAAUUCACAAAAUGUUUUCCCAUCCGCAGCAUUAAGUAAGCUUCUGACUUGUUCUUAUGCUGGUCUCCAGCAAUUAAGGGCAGACAUGUCCGGUCUACAUGGCAACAUGUGUGAAACACCAUGACCUAAGAAAUACAGAAAUGAAAUCGACUCUUUUGGUCAUAUUAGAGCCCAACCAGAUAAUACAUAAGCCACAGCUUAACCAAACAAGGCAGAUAAUUACGGCACAAGUUCACCUGGUAUUGGAGCUGCAGCUGGUAAAUUGUUGGGCUGAAAGCCCAUAUUAUUACCAGGUGGCCUUUCAAGGGGCGGCCGAAAGUAACCUUCCUGCCCAAAAGAAGGGGCUGCAUGUGAAGGAUUUCUUCCACUCAUCCAUGUGCCUUGCUGAUUAUCUGUGCUAAAUUCACUUGUCGGCAUCCUCCAAAGUUCAUCACCAACAAAUCGCCUUCGUCCAUCAGGAUGAGAAGGCAUAGUGUACGGACGAGGAUAUGAAUGCUGAGGAUGUUGCUGAAUAGCAGGCUUUGCAAAAGAAAAUUGACCAGAUGCAGUUUGUGGCAGGGUUGGAUGCAAAGGUCUUUGUGUGAAAGGUGUACUUCCUGGUUGAAAAUGUGGGCUUUGUUGAGAAGCUUGGGGAUUUAAAUACAGGUCAUUAUGUCCAUAUUCCAAUUGCCUUGAAGGAAUAUAUCCUAAAGAUUCUCUAGAACUGCAAACUGCUGCAGAAGUGAAGGAAGGAGACUUCUGGGGAAACCAUUCACUUUUUACACCAGCAUCCAUAAGAUUCCCAUGAAUAUUUCCAGACAUUUGAGCAAGUUGAUUACCACUGGAUGUACUGCAAUUACAAUAUUCUUGAGGGACAGCUGGUGGAUACACCAAUUGUGGUGAGGACUGCAAUGAUGACACAGAAGGUAGAAUUGAUUGAGAUACCAAUGAAGGUUGAGAUGGUGCUAAUGGUUGAGGUACCAAUGUUUGUGAAGGGCCCGAAGGUGGUACAGGAAGAGGUGGCUGUGAUGGAAGAGGUGGUGGAGGUGGAGGUGGUGGUGGUGAUGCCGGGGGUGGAGGUGGGGGUGGUGGCGGGGGUGAGGGAGGAAAAGGUGGCGGUGGGGGAGGAGAAUCAGGAGGCAAUGGUGGAGAACCCACUGGUAGAGAAGGAAGCUCAAAAGAUUUGGUGACUAGAGUCUCCAGAACUCCAUCUGAGCAAUGCUGCGGUGCAUCCAUUUCAGAAGAACUUGUGAACAAUGGUCUUUCAACCUUUUGGUGUCCAGACACAUCCUCCAUUUCAAGUUCACCAUCCACAUCUUCUAAGAUGCAAUGACGCCUGUCAUUUGAAGUAAUAAUACAAAUUUCUGACUCUCCUAAAGUACAGGUGGGUUCUGCUAUUGAUGACACAUCAACACCAUUCUUCAAUGAAUUACCGGGAAGAUCAUCUUCCUCCUCUUCAUCUUCAAAUACAUUAGACGAUAAAAAGCCAGGCAACUGAAAUGUAGCAUUGCUGCCAUAUUCAUCUACAAGCAUGCCUUCCAUUUCUCUUAUGGGAUCAUCUACAGCUCGCUCAGCUCGAGAUGGGCGUCUAAGGGAAAAUCCAGCAGAAGAAUCAUCGUUUGAAACUCCAAUAUCAUCCAUAUAAUGCCUCAAAACGGAAUCAGGAAAAAUUUUCCUCUCAAGCCACAAACGUAAAACCUUGAGACACUGACGACGGUUUUCUCGAGCACCAGUUCCUGCAGGAGCAGCAGCACCCAGAAGUCGUGGUAAUGCUGCUUGAACUGUUGGAACAUAUGAAGCUCCAGCAAUCCCUUUAUGAUUAUGUGAACACUGAGUGAUUGAAUCAACAAGAAAAAAGAGAUCCACUUUACGAUGGAAACUGGGCUCAGUUUCUAAUUUCCGGAUUAGAAGUUCCACAACCUCAUUGGCAAUGCCAUACUUGGCACAGUCAAUGGCAAGCCGAGUAGCACGCCCAAUACUUUCUUUUGUCCUUGAUAAAGUCUCUAUCAUCCCCUCAAAAGCAUCACGAGCUACAGCAGCCUCAGUUCCACCACUUAGAGAGCCUCCAACAAUCUUGUGUCCAGAACUAACUCUUUGCUCGUCAAUUUCUUCAGCUUCUACUUGGUUGUGUGAUGCUGAUUGAUGACCAUGAGUUGAUGGAGAAAGUACAUUUGUGCGAUGUUGAAAGCUCUGUAGAUCAUUCUGUAACACAGUGCUGGAGCCAGAUAAAAAUGGUUGGAGUGAUGAGGGACUGGGACUUCUUCCCUGAGGAUCAUUGAUGGACAUAAAAGAAUUAGGGUUUCCAAGAGAGAAAUGUUGCGAGUGAGCUUGUGAGUGAGCUUCUUUCCUUUUAGCUUGAGCAGCUGCAAUAAGGUGUUUCAUGGACAUAACAGAAUCUGGAGUCUUGGAAUCAACCAAUGAAAUGUCUCUAUCUUCUGUAACCCAUGCUUGUUCUGUUGAUGGUUCCAUUAAAACAGCAUGGUCACCCAUCCGUGCUUUUGGAGUAUUUUUGGGUCUUUCUCCAGAUACACCUGAUCUAUUUCUUUGGCUCAGUAAAUGAUUCUGAGAAGUAUUCAAACUAUCAGAAACCAGACCCAUAACCUUAGCAGACCCAGACUGGGCUUUUUUCGGAGUACUGCCAUUGGAAGAUUUAACUAAAGGUUUUGAGGCUUUAUGUUGUUCCACAGCUGGUCUGGUGACGGGAAGCGAAUGAGGAGACCUCUUGGGGGAACUCAACAUUAAUUUGGCAUCCUUGGACAAUAAGUGCUCUCCUGCUAAUUUACCAGGACUAACAAAGUCACGACUAUCAGGCCUCUUCACACUUUUUGGUCGGCUAGGUGAAAGAGAUUCAUCAUGCAACUGUGAGGAUAAUUCCCUUGAACUGCUAUGCUUCAAUCUGGAAGAAUCUUCAACACUUUGCUGAACAUUAAUAGACCUUCCCAGCUGAUUAUUAACAGAACCCCCAAAAUGUGAGUCCGUUCCUGUAGAAGUAUCAAAAACAGCUAGAGGUGCUCUAACACUUCUGGUGGAUCCUCCAUAAAUUGGAGUUUUAGGCCCUUCCCCUUCAUCAUCAUCAUCGUAGAGGCAAACAGCUCUCCGUCUUUUGGGCAGUUGAUUAACUGGAACUCUAGUAUUAUUAGAAGCAGAGUCAUUUUUCAGCUCCACAGGACCUUUUUCAGUCUUAUCAUUGGAAUUAAGGGACACAGAGUCAGACAUUGCCUCCAUUGCCCGCCUGCGACGUUUUGAUACAGGCAGCACAGCUUCAUCACUGGAAACAUCAGAUCUAACUUUUCCUGUUUGAGCAGAAAUAUCAGAUUUAGCAUUACCCAUUUGGGCAGAUGCAUUAGAUUUAACUUUUCCAGCUGGUGCUGGAGCAUCAGAUUUAGCUUCACACAUUUUUAUGGAGACAUAAGAUUUAACUUUGCCCGUUUGGGAAGAAAUAUCAGAUUUAUUUUUUGCCGUUUGAGCAGAACCAACAAAUUUCCCUUUUCCUGUUUGGGCUCUUAAUGCCAAAAGGAUUUCUCUUUUUUCAUGUGAUGUGGACUGUUUGACUGCAUUAGAACUUGAAGAAUCACUCUUCAUGUUUUCUGUGAUAGAUUCCUUAGCAGUAUCAUCCCCCACAUCUACACGCUUUGGCUUUGUUGCAGGAUGUAAAGCUUCACUUGCUUUUCCAAGCCCAGAUUGGGCCCUCUUUUUCUUGUCAGAGAUCUCACCAAUGGAAUUCAAUACGUUUUCAUGCAUACUAUCAGGUACCAUUAAACCCUUUUUGUCUUUUUGAAGUUCUUUUGCCUUUUUCCCAGUUCUGAUUUCAGAAUCUGAUUUAACAGCUUCAGAAUCUGAUUUAAGAGCAUCAGGGGAAAACCCCCUCAUGGUGCCACCAGUUGCAAUUUUAUCUUUCACUUUUUUACCAUUUUCAGGGAGGAUAUGCCCCUCAACAGCAACAUCAGGUUUCCUCUUUGUUUCAGCAGCCAUACUCUUGGACUUAUGACCAUUGGCCCAUGCUCUAUCACCAUUUUCAGGGUUCUUUGUGCAACUAACAUCCUCAUUUACAUCACCGGACUCUCCAUCCUUUACAUAUGAAGGAUCAUCCAAACAAGAUUUAGAUAAUACGACCUGCAUCUGUUCACCAUGUGAUAUUUUAACUUUCUUCUCCGAAGACAUAGCCAGGGAUGAAUUAUCAUUCACAUCAGCUGAAAUAGUAGGCUUUACAUCUUCAUAUUCAGUCUGGCCUAGUCUAUGUGAACAAUGCUUCAACUUAGAACUAAAAUCACCUUCCUGAUCCCAUGUUUCUCUUUUGAAGACACUUGUACCCAUGCCAUCAUUUAAUUCAAGCUCCAUCUCAUCUUCUAUCCCAUCAGUAGACGCAGCAUCAAAGCCUAGUGUUGAUCUAUCAGUACCUAAUAAACCACUUGACUUUCCCUUCUGUAACUCUUGAAAUGCUGCAGAGAUUUCCUUCACAGCUUGGGCAAAAUACUUACUUUUACCUUGACAUCGAGCUGACAAUUUAUUCUUUAAUUCACUUGUAAAUACCUGAAUAUCACCAGGAGCAACAAAGGCUAUUUCUUCAGUUCCAAAAAACUGGACAAAGUAUUUCUUAGGGUCAGGGGCUCGCUCCCAAUCUUCAGGGCGGCUUAUCUUGGCAGGCCAAGGAGGGAAGCCCUUAACUUUGGCAAGAACGAGAUCGCCCAAACUCAAUUGACUCUUCGUCUUUGCCUUGUUCGCUCCUUUUUUACGCCCAGGUGCCAUAUGCUUUACUGCUGUUGAUUACACAAGCACGCAAAAAGAGAAAGAGCUAGAGAUAGAAAUAGAGAGAGACCCUAAAACUCAAGAAGUAGAAUAGGUGCCAAUACAAUCAAAUAGAAAAAUCAUUAAAAGAACGACUCAAAUAAGCCUCGCCGGAGGAUUCGCCGGAGGUGAAUGGCCGGUUAGGGUUCCGGCGACGGGGUAGGAUAGAAAGCACAAGAGGUUUGCAUUGAGAAUUGUAGGCGACGAGGACGUAGGGAGAUCGCAGGCUUCAGCCUUUUCGGCAAGAAUAUAAAGGCAGUGGGUCGAGGUAGAGAGGGCUAGAGAGAAUAGAUUUUUGUGAGAUGAGGC
rnacentral:misc_RNA from 1 species